rnacentral:rRNA from 1 species
UACGGAGGGUGCGAGCGUUAAUCGGAAUUACUGGGCGUAAAGCGCACGUAGGCGGUCAGGCAAGUCGGGUGUGAAAGCCCUGGGCUCAACCUGGGAAUUGCAUUCGAAACUAUCUGACUCGAGUAUGGGAGAGGGAAGCGGAAUUUCCGGUGUAGCGGUGAAAUGCGCAGAAUAUCAGGAGGAACACCGAUGGCGAAGGCAGGUCUCUGGGCCGAUACUGACGCUGAGGAGCGAAAGCGUGGGGAGCGAACAGG